UAAAUAUUGUGAAAUUAAAUGUUUUAAUAAAAAAAUUUUUCUUUUUAGGUAGAAUUAGAAAGUUUAUUGAUUUUUUAUUUAAUUUGUAAUAUUUUGUUAACAAACCAGAUUAGUACCUGGCUAGUGAAAAUUUAAAAGUUCAGGAGUAAAGUAAUAUUUAAACUGUAAAGAUAUUGGCAGGUUUUUUAAAUUAUCUUUGGAGGUUGAAUGAUAAUUGAGAGCCCUCAUUUUCAUCUUUUUUUUUUGGCGCAUGUAUGUUCGUUUGUUUUAUUCUUAAGGAUUGUAAUUUUAACUUUUUUUUUUGAAAAAAUAGAUAAAUACCUGGUUUAUAGAAAAGUGCGAAUUUGACCUACAAUAAAUUAUUAUUUUGAAUUUAAAAAAGAGAUUUUUUAAUGAAAUUGUAAAAGACAGUAAAAACUUUUUUAUAUAGUUUUGAAGUUUAUUUAAUAACGGUACAAAUCAUC
rnacentral:rRNA from 1 species